GCCGUCGUCGAAGUUAACUUGCUUCAAUUGGAUUAUAUUCCCUUUUCCUAAUUCUCUUUUUCACCUAAAAAUUAAUUUUAGAUGAAUAAGAGAUUAAUGAUCAAAAUUAGCUACUUAAAUAACUGAAUUAUGGUUAAUCACCUGAAGGUUUUGGAGAUAUGAUGAAGUUCAUUCCCGAUCGAUGUUGGACGAAUGGAAUGAAUUUGUUUUGCACGCGCAUUUCAUGGCGAGGAGCUGAAGAAUUUGUACGCAUGAAAAGGUACGAUAGGAUCAAACUUGACAUAUCUAGCAGUUUAAAUCCCUAGAGUUCCAGAGAGAGAUGGCCUUCAGCGUUGCGUUUGUUUCUUUAACGAAGUAUCUCUUGUUUGGUUUAGUUUAAUCGAUCGCUUCCUUUUUGUCUCAGUGAUUGCUUAGGUUAGAUAUUUGUUCCACGAUGAAACAUAUGCCAUGAGAUUAGAGUUUAAAGCUUUCGUUCAUAUUAUUGGUUUUGGUAUGUGUGUAAUUUUUCUUUGAGUGGUUGGUUAUUUGAUCUGUGCACUGUUAUUAAUUUAAUUCUAGUUUAUUACUGGUGAUGGUAGGAUGUAGUAUUUCAAAUGUUGGGGUAGGGAAGAUCGAACUCUGUCUGGCUCUGAUUUUGUUUCUAUUCCAGUUUCAAUUCAAGCUUGGUAAGAAUUAUUGUAAUUGCCAGGAUUCCUUGGUGAAUUUAUAUAGUGCAGAGUCCUAAUAUUGGUGAUGCAGAUAGCAUAAGCAAUCUGCCUGCCAAAUAUCUUAGAUACUAGAUGCCAUCAUGCGAUGCAGUGAGGAUUAGUAUCUCGUUCAGAGACUGUAGGAAUAUGUGGAAAUCUGGAUAUUGAUCACUGGAUUUUUCUUCUACUGAAUUCCAAACUCCAAGAUCUAACCCUUCAUCUAGACUGUGUUAGUAAUUAUGAAUUGACGUCUCAUUUCUUUGCGUUCCAAACUGAUGCACCUUAAUCUUAUAUAUGUAUGUCCAAAUCGCCACCACAGGUUAGGGAAUUUUAUGGCUCCUCACGUUAGAUUUUCAGGACGUCGAGUGUGUGCCUGCUGUCUCCGAGUACUAAAUAUAUCUCUGCUCCGUGCUUGAAGAGUUGGAUUCAUAUGAAGUCAAGAGGCCUUGUCUCAGGUUAUCAAGACUUCAUGGUGUCUUGAAGACUAUUCACUUAAAGAACUAUCCAGUCCCCUCUGAAAUUUCAUGUCCACUCUCUUAUCUCGUAACAGUGAACUCAGUCCUCUAAAGGCUUCGGGCAUUUUCAUAUUCUGCAUACGCUGGAGAAACUGCAUCUGCACCACGCAUACUGGAGGUCACAUGUUGUUCUUUUGUUUAACUAGACUUUGAGCACACGCCGUUGGAAUUUUUUUUUGUUUGUGCCAUAUUUGUGGGUGCAGGAGGAUUCAGUCAGUUUCCUGACAGUUUAAACACUCUCAAAGUACUUAAGAAGUUCGUGUCCUUGGAUAGUGUUAAGGAGGUUGCUUGUGCUCUUCAUUUAGUAAGAAUUCACUGCACUUACAGAUGUUUCUAGUUUCUUUAUAUGCAUGUAAAACUGUGGAAUCUGUUUUUAAAAUUCAUGCGAGCCCAAGAGACACCGGAUCAUUAUUUGAAUCGCCUUAGGAAGGUAAACAUUGCAAGGUAUUUGAGCCUCAAUUCGAGUUUGUUAGGUAUCUACUGGUUUCUGCCUGUGGACUUCAGGAACUCGUGAUUGCACUGGCUUUUCAUGCACUUAUCAAUGACUCGAGCUUGAUGGACCGGCUGCGGCAAUUUCCAUGUACAUCUCCAUCUGUGCAGCUUGUUCUAGUAAGGUGUUAAGUGGCAAUGUCAAAUUAGAAUAACGAAGACGACGUGUAACAAGAUGAAGAUGACACAGCAGCAGGUUGGUGGUGAUGUUGGAAGGUAUUCCUGCGAUUAUUUCUUGAUUAUUAAUUAUUAGGGUAUGUUUGAUUUAAUUGCGUGCCCUAACUUGCUUUUUGUAAACUGGGAGUAAGCUAUUCUUAGUUUAGUUGCAAAAUGUAUCAUUCAUAUAAAUACAAUGCACGUUUUAUAAGAUGUAGUCGUAUUAGUAUACGUUUGUUUGUUUA